UUAAAGAAUCAUCAAUGCAGUUCUCUUAUAACUGUGCAGAUUGGAAAAUAUGCAUAUAUGUGACGAUAACAAGAAAACAAUAAAUGUAAAAGGCCCAAAAUAUAAAGACUCAAGAAUGUGGUAUUAACAGAUCUCCAUGUAUCUACACUGAGA